ensembl:lncRNA novel transcript, sense intronic
CAGCUCCUAGUUUAGUGGCCCGCACACGGGACACCCACACCUGUGAAGAAAUCUGUGGCUGGAAAAGAGCUGACGGACUCAGCAGUCACAGCGUGAACUGCCCUUAUGGACAGAGAAGCUUCACAAAGACUUCAAAAUCAGUGCACGGUGUAUAUACACUCGGAGGUGUGCAGUAUAUAUACACUCGGAGUCACGGAGGCCGGGACUGGAGAGGCAGAGGGCCGGAGUGUAGAUGGAGAGGAGCAAAGGAUUAAUAUUCAGAAUGUAUCAAGAACGUCUGUAAAUCCAAACCAAAAAGUAACCUAAUGGGAAAAUAGGCAGAAUAUCUGAGCAAAUAACUUACGGGAGAAGAAACCUAAAUGAUGAACAAAAAGGAAGACAUGAGCCUCGCUAGUAUUCGGGGUGCAGGCUGAUGGGA